CAGCCGCCACGGUAACACGUAGGGUGCAAGCGUUGUCCGGAAUCAUUGGGCGUAAAGCGCGCGUAGGUGGCCAUUUAAGUCCGCUGUGAAAGUCAAAGGCUCAACCUUUGAAAGCCGGUGGAUACUGGAUGGCUAGAGUACGGAAGAGGCGAGUGGAAUUCCUGGUGUAGCGGUGGAAUGCGCAGAUAUCAGGAGGAACACCAAUAGCGAAGGCAGCUCGCUGGGACGUUACUGACACUGAGGCGCGAGAGCGUGGGGAGCGAACAGGAUUAGAUACCCCGGUAGUCCCUGUCUCUUAUAC
rnacentral:rRNA from 1 species